rnacentral:tRNA from 1 species
CGGGGCGUAGCGCAGUUCGGCCAGCGCGCAUCGUUCGGGUCGAUGAGGUCCCCGGUUCAAAUCCGGGCGCCCCGA